AAUUAUCCUUGAAAUUGGCAAUCUGCGGUCAUUAACAGAACACAUUUUUUAAGUCAAAUUGAAUCAACCAAUAUUAGUAGAAAAUCAACCAGUUUAAUAGAAAAUGAAGCUAAGAAUGAUGAUCAACGUUAAUGAUAUAUCAUGUAGGGCUUCUGACCCAGUAAAUAUCAAAUUCUGCAAUAUUUUAACAAAUCAAGUACUUCACAUGUACUAAGACUAUGACUAUUAACUUCCAGUAAAUUUUAAACAAACAAUCAAAAUACUAAAAGAUCUAUCAGUUGUGGUGUUCUCAUCAAGUUUUUGUUCCACAGACAUGUCCCUUUAUAGAGGUAGAUUCAGUCAGAUAAUGAGCAUUUCGUAGUUACUCGUAGUUAUAAUUGGAAUAAUUAUACAUUCAUAUAUACGUCUGUUUUGUCAAACAUAAGUGAUCUAGCUAAUUCUUUGAAGUAGGAAGUCAGCCAGAUGCGUAUUUACCCUGUCUUCUAAAAAAUAUCCACACUCUAACAUGUAUUGUGAUUCAAAAUAAUCUCAAAGGGAUUUCUAUAGCUCAAAUGAUAACAUGUUUCAUGUUCAAUGUGUCAUCAGAAGGUUUGGUUACUACUGGUGAAAGUGAUCUGAACUUGCAUUACAAGCAUUCAGAGCUGGUGGAGAGUCUAAAAGCUUCAAAUUUUACCUGGAAUUAUGCUAUAUUUUUGCAGAUAUCAAGGUCCAAUCUGGGGAAUUGUUUCUUGGUUGGGGAGAUGGAUAUUGUAGACAACCAAAAGAAGGAGAGGAAUCUGAGGAUACCUUUUUUGUUAAUGGAAGACACUAAAAAUAUGAGAAAGAGGGUACUUCGGAAGCUCAAUAUGUAAUUUGGAUGAUUUGAAUAACAAAUUUAUGUGAUUGAGUUGGACCAAGUUACAGACAGACACAGAGAUUAUCUUCCUAACAGAUUAUCAUCCUCAUCCCCCACAGAAACAGGGGUGGUUCAGCUGGGUUCAGUUAGGUCCAUACCUGAAAACUUAGAGGUGUUGCAGAUGAUAAGGUCCAUGUUCUCCAGAGUAUCCUCACCCGUCUCAGUCUUGCCAAUAUCAAUUGUAUCUGGACUAAAUGAGUAUCCCCAACUUUUCUAAUCGUUGUCUUUUGUUUUUGGCCUAUUGUAUUCAAAGCAAUCUGUACCCAGAAACUUUGUUGAACUUUUGAAUGUGCAUUUUGUGUUUCUUCUUGCAAAGGUGACAGAAACAUUGGUUAGUUCAUCCUGGAAUAUAUUGUAAUAAUUUGUCAGAUAUAUACACCAUUAAUUAACCUAGUGCAUUCUUUUUACCGACAUGUUUUGUGUAUUCUCAAUCUUGAGAUUAGACAGAAUAAAAUACACCCUGGAUAUUAAGCUUGAUAGCGUUUUCAGAAUCCCACUUUUAUUCUUAUGUUAUAGACUUCUUUGCCGAUCGUACAAGGUUGCGUGCUUAAUAACUGCAGUUGCGGAAAUCAUUUUCAAGGUUUCACACUACAAUCUUCACUUCAUUAUCAGCGGAGUUGAUUCCAAACAACCUAUGACAACACCAUAGAUAAUAUACUUCAUAUUUUUAUUUUUUAUUUUUGGUAUGAUAGCGGGGUUGUUGAAGGGGACCCCUACCCCUAAAAAUUGUUGUGGUAAGCUUGUUUUUAAUGAGAUCAGUAACUCGGAAUAUACUUCAUAUACAUCCUGCAGAGUGAGGAAUAGUAUUUUUUUGCUCGGUUCUGAACAUAACUUGGAAAGCUUAUUCAUGAACUUAAACUUAGUUUAGUCCCACACCCCCACUCCCACAUUGUUACUUACAGACUAUUUUUAAAUAAUUUAUAUAUACCAAUAUCAGUUGUAUCUGGACUAAAUGAGAAUGUUAUAGUGCCUAUACCAGAGAGACACUGGACGAAUGCCAUAAGAUUUUUGGGCAAGAUUUUAACCUUUGUGGAUCUUAGCUUAACGAAAAGCUCCUAGAACUAAAGGUGGAGUUUAGAACAUGGGAUAUGUUCUCUAAUGGGAAUAGGCUUCAAUUUGUUAACAAUCGAAAAGGGCCUCAAGUUUUGAGUUGACCCCCUAAUUGUGGUUUAAAACCAGCAAUGACUUUAGGGGAUUAUGUUUCUCAAGCCUCAGUUAACAGUUAAGGUAUUCUUCAAAACCGCACUUUGUUUUCAGUCUUAUAAUAAAAACAAAUUCCCUAUUUGUUUUAGGAUGAUCAUCCUUAUAUCUUGCCCAUGCUUAAACCACAAUUUGGAUACGUCAAGGUUAAUAUCCAAUUUUAUCUGUCACGGGUAUUUCUAGGAACGAAAAUAAUCUACUCAUUAACCAAAUUAUGAUUAUAUAAUUUCGUAAAUAAUUUAUGAUUAAGAAGUUUUUAGUAUGACUGGCAAUUUCUAGUAGGACCUGCUCAAUGGCAAUUUCUUGUUUUCACUUGGAGUGGUCAUCAAAGGCAUAGCUGGAUAGAGACAACUGAGGUAUAUUUUGCUUCAUCUUUCUGUGACUAUGCUAAAAGACUUGGGAUUGAUCUUCUUAACCAUGACAAAUACUUGAGUUGAGUAAUGUAGUUUGUUUAGCCCUAAACCUCAAGUCUUUAGAAAAGACAUUAUGACUAUCAAGCAGAGGCAUCUGGAUUUGAUAUAGAUGCACUUUUCCUUUGGGGUUUCCAAUAGUUAUGUUUUUAGGAAUUUGUCUCACAUUGAUAUAAAGACAUCAUAUGUCUUUCUUACUCUCUGUAUUUGUCUACAUAAGAAACUAAAGUUUUGUUGUCGACAAUCUCAAUGGCCUCCAAUAUAAUUAGUGACAGGUACCAUACAUAAAAUGUAAGCCAUACAUAGAUUGGUUCCCUUGUUGAACUGUUAAUUUUUAUAUAGUGAUGAGUUUUGCUUACAGUUAUUGAAUACAUAAAAUUUAGAGAGAGCCAGUACAAUACCUGAAAUGCUAAGUAGAAUUGAAACUGGACCAUUUAUGUAAUGGAAGAUGAAGAAGAAAACGGAAAAGAGAGCACCUGAGAAAAAAAAAAAAAAGUUCAGUUAUACUACUGUAAGAGUAACCUAGCAGAUAUUUGCGAGCAAAAGAGAAGAAGAGAUUAGCUGUAUAUAAAAUCACUGAUGAAAAACACAUGUUUCAUGGACAGCUAUGACAUAAUUACAAACCUUGGUCUCUAUUGACCAAAGUUACAAUCACAAAAUUUGGAGCUCUAAAAUAAAACCACAAAACUUUUCAAAGCUUAGAUUUGGUGUUUACAAAAAUUAGAGGAAAUACGCAGAGCUAUUUCAAUUCGGGAAGUUUAUUAGAGAUAAUGUCAAAAGCCAAAGCGCUAAUUAGGUUUGCAAGAAUACGAGCCGAAGAGCUAAAUCUCAAAAGUCAUAUCAUAUCCUCUCUUCGGCUACAUACUGUUGCACCUAUGUUUAAGGAGAGUAAUUACUACAUAGCAGUAUAGUUUACCUCUAUUAAGAAGAGUAAUAUCGUCUAUAUUAGUAAUUGCUUUCAUAGGUCCAAUAUUUAUGUACAUGCCCAAUGGAAGUGUCAAGACGUUGCUGCAUUACAAUAUCCAUCAAAGAUCUUCGACUUUACUCUGGUUUACAGAUUUAUUGAGCAACAAUCUGGACCAUGGUUAUCAAUCUGUUGGUCAUGGUAAUUGAUUUAGUCAGCGAAAUCAUUUAGCCAGAAAGAAAAAUGAACUAAGUAUGUAAAGAAAGAAGUUGAGACGGAGUUGUAGAUAAGGACCGAGAACAGAAAGCCAAAAGAAAUCCCAGCUGAGCACUGUGAUUAACUUCAAGUCUUCUUUUGUAAUCUAUUGUGGAGAUAGGCAAGUAAAUUAAACAGAAAAGUAAGGGCUUAUUACAAAACUUCUGAUAUCUGUUAUCUGUAAAACACUAUUUUUUUUUAUUUUAAAUUGUAAAAUCCAUUUGCUUAGCUUGGACUUUUAGCUAAGCAAACACAUAAUAUUUAUAGCAGUUACAAUAGAAGGCAGUUUUAAGAGUAAACGUUUUUUAAGCAGGAUAGUCUGCAAAUUACAAUAUUGCAUAGCUGUCUUAAUACGAAAUUUCUGAAGCAAUUUUGCACAACUAUUAGAAAAGUACUAACCUACUUGUCACUAUGCUUAUAUUCUUACAACUACACAAGUGUCCAUCAACUGGUUUCACUAUGUACAUUUCCAAAUUUCGUACACCACACUCCCAAACAACUUACACCAAUCUCUCAUUUCCAGUCCAGCCUUUUAGAAUUUCAAUGACCACACCAUCACCAGUCUCCUCCACCCACUCCCACAUAUGAUUGGUUCCUUCCUAACUAUGUAGUGUGCUCCAUACACACCAUCUCUAGUUCAAAUAUUUGAAUUACUAUAAUCUCCACACUGCGGGUCAGGGCCACCCUUAUGAUACACACAUUCAAGGCACAUGUUAAAGAAGCAAGGACGUAAUUAUAAAAUACAGUAUAACUAGAAAUGUAAUCAGGGUAAUGCAUCUGUUGGUCAUGGUCGAGGGCUGACCUCGAGGGCUUUUGUUGAUCGUUCAAAUGUCAUUGAUUUAGAACAGUCAGAUAAGAUAUUCAGGCAUGCAAGGAAGAUCAGACUACCAUAAUCUAAAAUUUAUCACAUCAAUAUCUUAAGCAUUAAUAAAUUAAGUAGCUACCAUAAUUUAGGUUUCUUAGCUUGAUCUUCCGAAGCAGUAAUUACCAUAUUCAGUAACUUUUUAUAAACAAAUUUUAAUAGAAAAAAAAAAAAAAACACACCAUUACAAUCCUGAGCAGCCUGAGUACAAUUACUCAUCGUCAGGUUCAUAACUAAAUGAAGCAAAACCAAGCUACUAUCAGUAAUUAAGUAGCCUUUCCUAUAUAAAAAUCAGAAAUUUGUAAGUAUCAAAUUAUAAUUCAGUAUAACAUAUAUCACAAAUUUAAGUUUCUAGUUGUAUGGAAAAGUAAUGCACACCACUAAAUUUAGUGAAUUGGAUAAGAAGGAAAACUAUUACCUGCUUUUAAAGAUUGGAGAAAGAGAGAUUGGCAGGGAUGCUUCAAAACUAUUAUUGAGAAAUAGAUUUAGAGAUAUUGAAUGCUUGGAUAGAGAAGAUAGAUUGAUCGAUAUUCUCACACAGAUUGAAAUUAGGUUUGGUUGAAGCAAAGGAUUCGUAGAGAGAAAGGGGAGAAAACAAUGGAGUAGGGCUUUCGAGAGGAAGAGAAAUAAGGUUUUGGAAAGAGGAAUAUAUACCGUGGACUUUUAAUAAAAUCUCAACCGUCAGAUCAAAUAUCAACAUCCUACGGACUUAGUUGUCUUUACGUUUGUCUAUAGACAAAUUUAUGUACCCGUUGUCGCUUAUAACUUAGAUAUAUAUAAGGGGAAGAUCAAUUAUACUUAAAUUAUUCAUUUUGAGUAAUUUAGUCCUUUGGCACCUCUCUCCUUUUCUCUCUCUUCUUCUCACUCAAAUCAAGUCCUAAAAUUCUUGACAUGGUUAAAUAGAGAGAGGAAUGCAAAUUACAUAAAUCAAUUGACACACUAAUUGGAUACGAUUCUGGUACUGAACUUUGUAUCUUUCAGCCCACCUACUUCAUGCUGUUGUAUAUAAACUCUUUUCCUCCAUCACUCUCCUUGCAUUAGCUGAUAAAUUCCAUAUUCUUUUACCUGAGUACAUGUUAGCUAGAACAGCAUAGUUUCCCAAACUCAUGCUACAUCUAAAUAGACUGAAGAUACAAGUGCAUUAUCAAACUUUCACAUAAACAUUUCCCACGGUUCUAAGUAUAUGUACACCAAUGAUGAAUGUCUAUGCUCAUCAUUAAGAUAGGUACAGACAAAAUGUUGAUGACCAGAAAUGCUGAACAAAUUUUUAAGGUUAAACCUAUUUCGUUGAGUCGGCACCGCUGGUACUACUGGGAUUUGGUAGUAGGUAUUAUUAAACUUAGUCGGCACCUUGAGUACUGUUUAGUUAAGAAUGUUUUCUGUGAAGUCAACCAAGCUGUUGAUCACUUGACUAGCCUUAGAGGGCUCCCAUCCCUUAACUCUGUAUAUUUUAAUAUUUUAUUUCUCCUUUGGAUGUAACUUUACAUUAUAUUCUGGAGAAGGAUAGACAAGGUGUGUUGUACUUAAGAUCUAAAUUCUGAAAGAACAGGUAGGGGUCUUGCCCAACCCUAAUCUUAACUGGGGGAUAAAAAAAAAUACACUUUGAUUUAUUUUCCUACAAUUUGGUAGAAUUUUUCUUGUAUAAAAUUAUUACUGGAGUUGUUUGUCUGACAGUCUCUAUUUUCUUACUUGUGGAUUUGUAUAUUCGGUAUAGUUGAAAACCUGUUUUACCCAUCAACUUCUAUCACAUCAGACUCCAAGAUAUCUAAUUCUUCUAAAUUAAUUUUUUAUGAUUCACUAAUAUUACGUAAAUAGUUAUAGUUCACUAUUUUCCCUAAAAUAGUCUAAUACUAAUUUCUUUCUUGUCUUUCCCACAGGACCUUUUGAAGUUUAAAGAAAGAGAAGAACUGAAGAAGUAAGCCACAACCACAACCAUAUACUGGUCAACUAUUGCAGGUUAUAGGAUCUUUUGAAGUUCAAAAUGUCUCAAGAUCUCAUUUUCAAAAUCAUCGACGAAGAAGCCAUUUUUUUCUUUUCCUUUAUCAGAACUUUAAUGAAAGAGAGAGAGAUAGAGAGGAUUACAUGUACUUUAGCAAAAAUACUGAAUAAACCCCAAAUCAACAAGUGAGUGGGGAUCACACAAUUGAGUAAAUAAGUAUUCUUUGUGUGAUCAAAAUUUAUUAAUUUUGUAACAUAUUAUAUAAGAAAAUACUUACAACUAUAAUAGAUAAUCGCUAUCAAAAUUCUUGAAUUGAAUCAAGAAUAAACAAAAUUGUAGGCGCACAUGCUGUUAUUGAAUUGAAUCAAGAAUAAAAAAAAAUAUCAAAUAAAAGCAAUUGCUAGAUAAAAAAUGUAUUGAAGAUUAAGAGUUAAAAAAUUACCCCAACGCUUUGAUAUUGCAACUAAACCUCUGAAUCAAAUACUUGCAGAUUGUGAUAUUGCAACUAAAUCUCUGAAUCAACUUCUCAAAGGGUACCUGAUUUAUUCGAUUGAUGAGUAAAAAAAUCUUCUCAAUCUUCUAUUAACGGUGAUAAAAAAAGAGAGUUUAAAGAAAGGGAAAGAUUGAAUAGCCAAUUUUGGUCAGAGGGAGAGAAAUCAAGGUUUGGAAGAGAUGUGGUCAGAGAGAGAUUGACGAAAGAGAUUGAAUACUAAAUUUUGAUAAAUAAAAUGCCCACUGUGUAACUUAAACCCAACUGUAACUUAAGCCCAACCGUAAGUUUAUUAACUUAUAUAAGUUAUAAAGAUACACUGUGAUCGAGAAAAUCCAAGGGUUCAGAUCUAAUUUCGACCUCCAACUUGAAAUCUGAGCCGUCCAAUGUCAAAUUUUAUAUAAGUUUGUCUCUCAAACUUGAGAUUGCCUUGUCCCUUAUAACUUAGAUGUAUGUUGUAAAUUUGCGUAUAUUGUACCUGAAUGGUAGCAACUACAUAAUGCUGGAUACUUUAGUAGUGAAACUCAUCUCCAAGGCUAACACGCAUCUGUAAUGAUAAUCCGUUUGUUCCACCAACUUUUGAC
rnacentral:lncRNA from 1 species